UACGUAGGGUGCGAGCGUUGUCCGGAAUUACUGGGCGUAAAGAGCUCGUAGGUGGUUUGUCGCGUUGUUCGUGAAAACUCACAGCUUAACUGUGGGCGUGCGGGCGAUACGGGCAGACUGGAGUACUGCAGGGGAGACUGGAAUUCCUGGUGUAGCGGUGGAAUGCGCAGAUAUCAGGAGGAACACCGGUGGCGAAGGCGGCUUCCUGGACACUUACUGACGCUGAGACGCGAAAGCGUGGGGAGCAAACAGG
rnacentral:rRNA from 1 species